rnacentral:lncRNA from 1 species
AUGCGCCAAACAAAUACAUUUGCCUUGCUUUGCUAUAAUUACACGGAACUACAAAGCUGCUUUUUUUGAAGGCUCAACGUCGCCAAGUUGAACGCCUGCAGAAAUUACACAAACAUCACGAUGUAUGUGAAAGUCGUUAUGAAAAGGCAAGUGCAGAAUUGUUAGAGAUGGAGAGAGCGCAAACAGCGGUCUUCCAUCGUCGUCUGUUUUCAACGGUAAUGUUUCCUUCACGUUUUGAUAACAUACCUCAGGGUGAAAAACAUUAAUUCCUACUUUAUAACCUUGGUUUUUGCAUCUCCAUGCUCCUCUGUCAUGUAAUUAUGGAUGCUAAUCAAUAGCACAGCACAAUAACAGUUUACCUCGUAAACAAUAUCCACAUUUUCAGCACUUCAUACUUCUGUAUUAGUUUAAAUAGUUUCCUUCACCAUUGUUUUGCAGAUGCAAGAACAGACACAGAUAGAUGGAGAAAUGUUGGCAGAUAACAAGAAUGCAGAGAUAAUGGAACCCUUGAUGAAUACAGACAGCAUGAUGCUGAAUGAAGAAAUGGCUGGAGAAGAUGGAUUUUCACAUUCAAGCUCCAUGUCCAGCAUUUCCACAGAUGAGUAUGUACCAGAGUCAUCAGAGGACAGUUCAGAGGAAUCACCAAACCAGAGUCCUGCCGCAAAGAGGAAUAAGUUUAUUCCUUUGAAAGAAAACUCAAAAUGCCGCCGCAAAGGACAAAAAGGUAUGGAUUUAUUGUUGGAAAAAAAUUCAGAAGAGUUUCCCAGAGCCAAGAAAAAGACUUUCGGGAGAGCAAGUUCACUCUUUAGAGGAGACUGCUUAGUUACUCCACCUAGAAAAGAAGUUGAAGUUGAACGAAGACUCAAAACCAAGGUAAAUUACAAGACAAAGAAGAGACCCAUAGUUAGUAGCAAGGAUGAUAUAGGCAGAUCAAAACUAAAAAAGAUGAGAUAUAAGAGGAUUCGUAAGAUAGACUCAGACUCUGAGACAGAUCCGAGUGAUUCAGGUGACUCAAAAUUAAAGAAAAAGACACAACACAAGAGACAUCACGGGAGAGAGUCAAGUUACAGUGACACUCAAUCAAAUCAAGCAGAACCAGAAAACACACGACAAAACAAGAGAGACUACUGUUCAGAGGAGGACUUGGAUGAGCCAAACCUGAAAAAGACUGAAUACAAGCAUCAUUACAAAAGUAAUAGUCACAGCAAGGAUUCAGAUGGAGUGAAACACACACAAAAGAAAUAUGACAAGAAGAAAGCAGGACUCAGAUCAAA